GCAGCGGUAACUCUGUGGGAGACCAACUAUUGCAGAUGUGAGGUGCCCCAAGGAUGUGCAGAUUCGAAAUGGGACUAUAAAGAACACAAGACCAGCAGUAGAAAUUUCUUUUUAACUGGUGAAGUGUUGCCUCACCUGGAAUGACUGUUUGGGGACCUGAAUGAAAAUGAGGGAGGAGGUAAAUGGUUUGGAGAUCGUUGGGUGUUUCAGCGCACUACAGUCUCUGAGGGGAUUCUAGGAGGCUGCUGUAGCGUGCAGGAAUCUUGUGGUGAGAAGGUUGUAAGCCGAUGCUCAUCUCCAUUUCGCCAAUUGAAGCUUCCAUUGUUCAGUGAUUAAAGUGAUGAUGCAGGCUGAAAUGCACACUGCCUGUCUUUUUAUUACUGGGUAUUCGCUCUGCUACCAGAAAGGAAAGACGGCCUUUUUAUUGCUGGUGAGAUCGCUCUGCUACACAGAAGGAGAAUGCUGCCCAGGUUUUCUGCGUUUUGAAUGUGGACGUGCUGUGGACAUUUUUUGGUCUUAUGGUUUUUUUUGUAUUGUAAUCUGUGUUUUUUGCCCAAUCUUACACAUUUUAUGUGUG